rnacentral:rRNA from 1 species
GUGGGGAAUAUUGGACAAUGGGCGCAAGCCUGAUCCAGCAAUGCCGCGUGGGUGAAGAAGGUCUUCGGAUCGUAAAGCCCUUUCGACAGGGACGAUGAUGACGGUACCUGUAGAAGAAGCCCCGGCUAACUUCGUGCCAGCAGCCGCGGUAAUACGAAGGGGGCUAGCGUUACUCGGAAUUACUGGGCGUAAAGGGCGCGUAGGCGGCUCUGUUAGUCAGGCGUGAAAUUCCUGGGCUUAACCUGGGGACUGCGCUUGAUACUGCAGGGCUUGAGGGCGAGAAAGGGUGGUGGAAUUCCCAGUGUAGAGGUGAAAUUCGUAGAUAUUGGGAAGAACACCGGUGGCGAAGGCGACCACCUGGCUCGGUUCUGACGCUGAGGCGCGACAGCGUGGGGAGCAAACAGGAUUAGAUACCCUUGUAGUCC